UACGUAGGGUGCGAGCGUUGUCCGGAAUUAUUGGGCGUAAAGAGCUCGUAGGCGGCCUGUCGUGUCGGAUGUGAAAGCCCGGGGCUUAACCCCGGGUCUGCAUUCGAUACGGGCAGGCUAGAGUGUGGUAGGGGAGAUCGGAAUUCCUGGUGUAGCGGUGAAAUGCGCAGAUAUCAGGAGGAACACCGGUGGCGAAGGCGGAUCUCUGGGCCAUUACUGACGCUGAGGAGCGAAAGCGUGGGGAGCGAACAGG
rnacentral:rRNA from 1 species